CUAUUAAACAGUCAAAAGAGGUCCCGAAUAAUUACAGUAAGGGAAAAAAAACAAAAUUAAGCGGUAGGCAAACAGUGCGAAUUAAGUAGGAAAAUUAAUGUCAGCUAUGAGGUCCAUCGCUUUAGCAGUAUGUUCAACGAUGGCAUCGGUGGCAGCGAUAAUUUCUUCCGGUCUGAAAUCUUCUCUAGCAAACUAUCGCUUGUUCCGAGCCUCCCAAAAC